ensembl:lncRNA
CCCGCGCCCCUACCAGGCGGAGCAGGCAGCCCCACAGCAGGGCGGCCGCGGGCCCGGGCGGCCUCGGCCGCGCCCCCAUGGGCUGUGGGUCGGGUGGGCGCGGGACUGCGCGCGGUGCUCGGCUCGAUCUGCCCGGGGCUCGGCGGCGCUGCUCGGUGGCCGGCACGGCGCGACUUCCUCUUCCGGCCCCGCCCUGGGCGCGGGAAACCCCGCGUGGGCUGGGCGCCCACAGGCGGCGACGGGAUGGGGCGGCCCAGGGACCUGGCCACGGGCGUCGGGCCCCUCCCGCGGCCCAGCACCGCUGCGCGCUCAGGGCUAGACCGGCUCCCCGCGAGGGACUGCGAACGCAGGUGACAAAGACAAAAAUUAAAGCCAGGAAACAGUUUGCUCUGCUGAAGCACAAGCUUGUGGAUCAGACCACGUCCCUGCACCGUUUGGGGCCGAAUCCGAACUGUCCCGGGCUUCCUGGGCCCCGACAGCGCGAGGUCGCGGUCCCCGCACUUCCCACGCUCCAGCCUGACGCAGCCCGCUCGCUUAGGCCAGGACGUGGUUUAAUUCUUGCAUAGCACUUUGCACUCACUGUGUUGUAUUCUCUUGCUGAUCCGUCUGUCCAUUUAUUUUGUUUUGUUUUGAGACAGGGUCUCCCUAUGUAGUUCAGGCUGGCCCUGAACUCACUGUGUAGCCCAGGCUGGCCUGGAACUCCUGGAGACCCUCCUGCCUCAGCCUCGUAUUAAUUAUGACGCUGCCUCCCACUUGCUAGAAUGGGUGCCGUGUUUGCUUGGUGUCCCCAACACCUGCAACACGGGGCAGUGUUCAGUCCUCACGUGCGUGUGAGAGGGACAGUGUCCUUGCCACCCCACCGCUCCAGGGAGGCACACACCGCCUAGGCUGAAUUGUGACUCUAGGAUGCUAUGGAAGGGACAAAGUGUGUGUGGGGGGGCUAAGUGGGGUGCCCAGAAAAUGCCAGCCUGAACGGAGUCUUGAAGGGGAGCUAAUUUCAGCAGAGGGCUGAGUGUCCAAGCCAACGGUGGCCCUGGAGAAGCCACCAAACUCGUGCUGGGCUGAAGGUCCCAGAGGUGACAGGUGAAGUUAGAGGAGAGGCGGAGGCCAAAUCCCAGAUCCUCGGGCCCGCUGGGCCUGCGGCCUCCGAGCCGUGCAGGGUGGCGGCGGGGCCAGCGGACAGAGUGGUGGAGGGAGGCCCGGCCUGCAGAGGCCUCAGGUCCUUCCGGGCUCUGGAGGCCCCGGGAAAGCAGAGCGCGGCGAUCCUUCCUGCGGGACGCGGCAGGCGAGUGUGCCUGCUAGCAGUCGAGCGGGCCCCUCUGACGCCCAGGGCCAAGCUUGCCGGCUGCCUGGGGAGCCACACCCCCACGGGAAAAGCGGGUGACUUCGUCUCCAGAGUCCUCUCCCCUCCAGUGCAGCCUGUGGCCCUCUGGCCGCCAGUCGCCUCGCUGUCCGGCUGAAGACCAGGCCUCGCCCGCCUGCGUUUCCCUCCCCUCGCCCGGCAGCCGCGCCUGUCUGUGCCCUGGGCCGCUUCCGCGGGCACUGUCUCUGCCAGUGGGGUUUUCGGCUCAAAAAUGCGGACAGCGUUCCUGUUUUGCUGCCUCACAGGGUCCUCGUAAACCUGUCACGACUCGCACCAGGCGGAAAGUCACUCGCAGAUGGAAAGAAAAAAGGAGGGGGAUAGAAAGAGAAGAAGAAAGCAGGAGGCUCCGUCUGUCCUAAUUCUUCUUCCACGACGCUUUCUCCUUGGUCAAAGUCCCUAUGCAGGAGGAAGGAAAGCAAAGCGAAAGGGAAAAGACGCUUGCUGGUUUGGCCUGGUGAGGUGGUGUAUGCCUGAGAUCCCGGCACGUCGAGCCUUGUUUCACACACACCCCCCAUCUCGUUUAAUGACUUGAUUUCUGGAGAGGCUGCCAAGAGCUCGUUUGGAUAUACUUUUGUACCUUCGGGGAUUACAUGGGUUGAAGGGUGCCUGGGUAUCUCUUAGAAAGUAUUUUUCUUCUCUGCAGAAACUAUAUAUAAAGCCUAAUUGUAGAAACUCAUGCUACAUUGCAGAUCCAUUUGAUUUGUAAAUAUAUUUAGUUUUUUUUCCCAAUGAUUAAAGAGCCUUAUUUCUUGUCAGACUUCUUUUUUUUUUUUUUUUUUUUUUUUUGAGACAAGGUCUCACUAUGUAGUUCAGGCUGGCCUUGAACUCACAGUGAUCCUCCUGCCUCAGCCUUCCAUGAAUCCCCCUCAAAAUCCUCCCCCUUGCCUUGAACACAUUUAUCCCAUGUUCUGGUCACUUUCUGCCCC